rnacentral:misc_RNA from 1 species
CGUUGGCUCGGCGUUUGUCGU